rnacentral:rRNA from 1 species
UACGGAGGGUGCAAGCGUUACUCGGAAUCACUGGGCGUAAAGGGCGCGUAGGCGGCCUAGCAAGUCUGGUGUGAAAGCCCAGGGCUCAACCCUGGAAGGGCACUGGAAACUGUUAGGCUUGAGUUCCGGAGAGGAGGGGGGAAUUCCCGGUGUAGCGGUGAAAUGCGUAGAUAUCGGGAGGAAUACCGGUGGCGAAAGCGCUCUGCUGGACUGCAACUGACACUGAGGGACGAAAGCUAGGGGAGCGAAAGGG